AUUGAACGCUGGCGGCAGGCCUAACACAUGCAAGUCGAGCGGAUGAAGGGAGCUUGCUCCUGGAUUCAGCGGCGGACGGGUGAGUAAUGCCUAGGAAUCUGCCUGGUAGUGGGGGAUAACGUCCGGAAACGGGCGCUAAUACCGCAUACGUCCUGAGGGAGAAAGUGGGGGAUCUUCGGACCUCACGCUAUCAGAUGAGCCUAGGUCGGAUUAGCUAGUUGGUGGGGUAAAGGCCUACCAAGGCGACGAUCCGUAACUGGUCUGAGAGGAUGAUCAGUCACACUGGAACUGAGACACGGUCCAGACCCCUACGGGAGGCAGCAGUGGGGAAUAUGGGACAAUGGGCGAAAGCCUGAUCCAGCCAUGCCGCGUGUGUGAAGAAGGUCUUCGGAUUGUAAAGCACUUUAAGUUGGGAGGAAGGGCAGUAAGUUAAUACCUUGCUGUUUUGACGUUACCAACAGAAUAAGCACCGGCUAACUUCGU
rnacentral:rRNA from 1 species